CAGCAGCCGCGGUAAUACGAAGGGUGCAAGCGUUACUCGGAAUUACUGGGCGUAAAGCGUGCGUAGGUGGUGGUUUAAGUCCGUUGUGAAAGCCCUGGGCUCAACCUGGGAAUUGCAGUGGAUACUGGGUCACUAGAGUGUGGUAGAGGAUAGUGGAAUUUCCGGUGUAGCAGUGAAAUGCGUAGAGAUCGGAAGGAACAUCUGUGGCGAAGGCGACUAUCUGGGCCAACACUGACGCUGAGGUACGAAAGCAUGGGGAGCAAACAGGAUUAGAUACCCCCGUAGUCCCUGUCUCUUAUAC
rnacentral:rRNA from 1 species